ACAUUGGGAAACUGAGGCCCGAACCGCCUAAGAUUCUCUUUCCCGGCUCUGCGAGCCCAGCCGACGUUCCUUACAAGGUCCCGGCAGUGAGGAAUGAGCGGCCACCUGAGGACUGCACCGGGCAGGGAGCAAGAACUCAGUGGCCCUGCCCUUUCUUUUCAUCAUCUGCUGCAGAACAGCAUCAUAUUCAAGAAUGAGGACAUGAUGAGCAGGGGGUGGUUUUCACGACAGGAUGCUUCCCGAGCAAGAUAAAAGGGUCCAGGAGACACGGGGCCAUUCAUCUACACAUUCUGGAGGCGGAAGGUAGGAAGAAAGAAUAGCAGAGGUUUCCUGACUUGGACUACCAAGCUCGCACAAAAAGCAAAAUUCUUGAGUGCUUUCCUCAUCUCUCCCCAUCUUCCCCUUCCUCACCCCUGUCCCAUCAUGUAGCUCCCUGUGUUCCUGAGCUGAUUGGCUUCUCCUCUCAUGCCCUAUAGUCAGACAUGAUUUUCUGGACUCACAGACAACCCAGGAGCAAUAAGAGAAAACAUCACAUUUGUCUUUCGGAGACUGACCUAAGACGACUCCUAUGAUUCUCUUCAGCAGCAUCCAUGCUUCUGUGAACAGUGUGACUUCUUUUGUGGGUACUGAGAAAUCCAUCAUGUGUAUUUCACAUCCUGGUUAUCCAUUGCUCUUUUGAUGGAUGCUGUACUGGCUGGUUCUGUGUGUCCACUUGACACAAGCUGGGGUUAUCCCAGAGAAAGGAGCCUCCCUUGAGGAGAUGCCGCCAUGAGACCCAGCUGUAAGGCAUUUUCUCAAUUAGUGAUCAAGGGGAGAAGGUCCAGCCCAAUGUGGGCGGUGCCAUCCCGGGGCUGGUGGUCCUGGGUUCUAUAAGAAAGCAGGCUGAGCAAGCCAGGGGGAGCAAACACAGUAAGCAACAUCCCUCCAUGGCCUCUGCAUCAGCUCCUACUUCCAGAUUCCUGCCCUGUGUAAGCGCCUGUCCUGACUUGCUUUGGUGAUGAACAGCAAUGUAGAAGUAUAAGCUGAAUAAACCCUUUCCUCCCCAA